GAAACAUAGUAUAGUUAACAAGAUCUGAGUGCAUUUUCUAAGAAUUUAUCUACACUUUAAUUUUCAUUUGGCAAAUAUUUUUUAAAUAAAGGAAUUUGUUCCAAAAUAAUUUGAUAAAAGCCUAAAGUUAGUUUCUGGGUACAAUCUAGCUAUCAUUUUUGGAAAAUGACAAAACCGUAAAUCUUACUUUCAUGUUAAAAAACGUCUGAUGUUACUCUCUCAAAAAUAACAAAGCAGACUUUAAAAAGGAAACGUCUUUGACUUGACUUCUAUGUGUGAAAAUAA
rnacentral:lncRNA from 1 species